GGAGAGGUCGCAUAGUCUGGCUGAUUGCGCUGGUCUUGAAAACCAGUAGAGCAGAAAUGCUCUCGAGGGUUCGAAUCCCUCCCUCUCCGCCA
rnacentral:tRNA from 1 species